UCUCAAAAAUACGUCUCAUCUCAUUAUGUUAAGGACAUUAAGUUAUUUUUCUUUAUAUCUAGUCUUGAACAGUCUGAUCAGAAGAUGCCACUGUGUAGUUUAUACUUAUGAAGAUAUUGAAUUAAGAAGAAUAUUUCCUAGUGAAUUCCCUCAAGAUACAAUUAGAAAAUCUGGUACUAUAGACGCAGAG